rnacentral:misc_RNA from 1 species
CGCACAUUGCGCCCCUUGGUAUUCCAUGGGGCAUGCCUGUUCGAGCGUCAUUUGUACCCUCAAGCUUUGCUUGGUGUUGGGUGUUUGUCCUCUCCUCUGCGGUUGGACUCGCCUUAAAGCUAUUGGCAGCCUGUAUAUUGGUUUUAAGCGCAGCACAUUUUGCGUCUUACUCCCUAUUGUACUAGCGACCAUGAAGCCUCUUUUAUCACGUUUGACCUCGGAUCAGGUAGGGAUACCCGCUGAACUUAA